AAAAGGAUAAUUCCAUUUGAUUUCCGCACCUUCUUCCUCCUCCACUGGACUGUCAGCGCUUCAACAUCAAGAACAAUCCUCUCUCUCCCAUGAGAAGCUGAACUCCUUCCUUGAAUCCCUGCACAACCAAACCCUUCCAUGGCGAAAACCCUAAUUUCAUCUUCACCCUUCGUUGGUUCGUCUCUCCCAUCUCUGUCCCGCCAUGGUCGUCUCCACGCUCUUCCUCACCGGAGACACGUCGCCACCAGAGUCAACUUCAGCUUCCAUCAACUUCCCCCCAUCCAUACCUUUGAUUCUGCCUUCGAUUAUGAAGCAAUCGUAAGCAGAGCCGAAGGCCUGCUCUAUACAAUUGCUGACGCAGCGGUAGCAGUGGAUUCGGCUGUUUCAGGUGGCGCGGCAUCGACCUCCGCAGAUACCGCCGUGCAGAAGAAUGGUGGCUGGUUUGGAUUCAUCUCCGAGGCCAUGGAAGUUGUUCUUAAAGUGUUGAAGGAUGGACUUACAGCUGUGCACGUGCCAUAUUCAUAUGGAUUUGCAAUUAUAUUACUAACUGUUAUCGUUAAAAUUGCUACUUUUCCUCUCACCAAGCAACAGGUCGAGUCAACAUUGGCUAUGCAAAAUCUUCAACCAAAGAUUAAAGCCAUCCAACAAAGAUAUGCAGGCAAUCAGGAAAGAAUACAACUUGAGACAUCACGGCUUUAUAGUCAAGCUGGAGUUAAUCCUUUGGCAGGUUGUUUACCAACUUUGGCCACCAUACCGGUCUGGAUUGGACUAUAUCAAGCCCUUUCUAAUGUGGCAAAUGAGGGAUUACUGACUGAAGGUUUCUUUUGGAUUCCCUCACUUGGUGGACCAACUACUAUUGCUGCUCGACAAAGUGGAGCUGGAAUCUCUUGGUUGAUCCCUUUUGUGGAUGGGCAUCCACCAUUGGGUUGGUCUGACACUGCAGCAUACCUUGUAUUACCUGUUCUCCUUGUCAUUUCUCAGUAUGUAUCGAUGGAACUCAUGAAGCCUCCCCAGACUGAUGAUCCAGCACAAAAGAACACGCUCCUUAUUUUCAAGUUUCUUCCCCUCAUGAUUGGUUACUUCUCUUUAUCUGUUCCAUCGGGAUUAUCAAUUUACUGGUUCAUAAACAAUGUCCUCAGCACAGCUCAGCAAGUAUGGUUACGCAAAUUAGGAGGUGCGAAGCCUGUUGUAAGUGAAGAUGGUGCUGGAAUUAUAACAGCAGGACGUGCAAAACGAAUGUCUGAAUCAGGACCUACGGGUGAUAGGUUUAGACAGUUAAGGGAAGAAGAGAAAAAGAAUAAGUUAAGCAAGGCUGCUCAAUCAGAAGAGAUUCGAACUCUGACUUCUGAGUCCGAUAAUGAGGAUGGGUAUGACGGGGAGACAACAGAGAAGGGUGAGAACAGUCUGGAAGAGGCAUAUGCAUCAAGUGCAGAUAAAGACAUCCCAGCCUAUAAUCGACAAAAGAGAAGCAAGCGAUCAAAGAGGAAGCGCGCAGUCUGAACGAUUAUAUACUGGAUAUAUUUGUAGGGAGGCUUCAACUAGUCAUUUUGGAUUUAUUUUGGUAGCCUGCCUGCUCAUGUUUCUGAAUUGUUGUGUGGUUUGAGACUUCUUAAUGAGCAUGGUGUUUCCGAGGUUAACUACGCAACCAGUAUCGUAACCCGGCACUUCUCUAAGAGAUGCAGAUGGAAAAGAGUCUUCACUUGUUCAUAUUCUACAGAGAUGCAGAGUUUCAUCUUUUGAACAGCCAAAACGCAGCGUUUUGGUCAUUACCUUGAUGGAGGCCAAUGAUUUGCCUACUGGAUUUGUCUCCGAUGGCUUUCAUGUAUGAAUUAUGUGCAUGUUGCCGAGGGUGUAUUUGGAAGGGACAGUAGAAUGUGUGAUUUUGAAAAAAAGAGAUUCUAAGUAUAAUUGAUUUUUGGUUUAUAAACUCUUUUUUCGUGUCU